GACGGAAGGUGCAAGCGUUGCUCGGAAUCACUGGGCGUAAAGGGUGCGUAGGCGGCUUGGUAAGUUGGGUGUGAAAGCCCCGGGCUCAGCCCGGGAAGGGCACUCGAAACUGCCGAGCUGGAGUGCCGGAGGGGAGAGUGGAAUUCCUGGUGUAGCGGUGAAAUGCGUAGAUAUCAGGAGGAACACCGAUGGCGAAGGCAGCUUCUUGGUCCAUAUCUGACGUUGAGACACGAAAGCGUGGGGAGCAAACAGG
rnacentral:rRNA from 1 species